GGUUUUGUAGUGUAGCGGUUAUCACUCUGGAUUCUGAUCAUCAAGUCAGAUAACUAUUCCAGCAACCCCAGUUCGAUUCUGGGCAAGACCU